UUUAAUUCGAUGAUACGCGAGGAACCUUACCUGGGCUAGAAUGCUGGUGGACCGUGGGUGAAAGCUCACUUUGUAGCAAUACACCGCCAGUAAGGUGCUGCAUGGCUGUCGUCAGCUCGUGCCGUGAGGUGUUGGGUUAAGUCCCGCAACGAGCGCAACCCCCAUCACUAGUUGCCAUCAGGUAACGCUGGGAACUCUAGUGAAACUGCCGUCGUAAGACGUGAGGAAGGAGGGGAUGAUGUCAAGUCAUCAUGGCCUUUAUGCCCAGGGCUACACACGUGCUACAAUGGGGCGUACAAAGGGCUGCAACAUAGUGAUAUGAAGCUAAUCCCAAAAAACGCCUCUCAGUUCAGAUUGGAGUCUGCAACUCGACUCCAUGAAGCUGAAUCGCUAGUAUUGGUAUAUCAGCAAUGAUA
rnacentral:rRNA from 1 species